UAGUCCAAUGAGUCAUUGCUAUUUACCUCUGCCUUAAGGGUUGUGACCCUUGAUCA
rfam:Dipodomys ordii contig_49648, whole genome shotgun sequence.